rnacentral:rRNA from 1 species
AGAGUUUGAUCCUGGCUCAGGACGAACGCUGGCGGCGCGCUUAACACAUGCAAGUCGAGCGAGAACCAGUCCUUCGGGACUGGGGAAAGCGGUGAACGGGUGAGUAACACGUGAGUAAUCCACCCUCGGCACCGGGAUAGCCCGGGGAAACCCGGAUUAAUACCGGAUAGCCCAACAGCCUUUCGGGGCGGUUGGAAAAGGUAGCUUAGGCCUCUGGCCGAGGACGAGCUCGCGGCGGAUUAGCUUGUUGGCGGGGUAACGGCCCACCAAGGCGACGAUCCGUAGCUGGUCUGAGAGGACGAUCAGCCACACUGGGACUGAGACACGGCCCAGACUCCUACGGGAGGCAGCAGUGGGGAAUCUUGCGCAAUGGGCGAAAGCCUGACGCAGCGACGCCGCGUGAGGGAAGAAGGCUUUCGGGUUGUAAACCUCUUUCAGGAGGGACGAAGCUCCUCGGGUGAAUAGCCCAGAGGGUGACGGUACCUCCAGAAGAAGCCCCGGCUAACUACGUGCCAGCAGCCGCGGUAAUACGUAGGGGGCUAGCGUUGUCCGGAAUCAUUGGGCGUAAAGCGCGCGUAGGCGGCCCGGUAAGUCCGCUGUAAAAGUCAAAGGCUCAACCUUUGAAUGUCAGUGGAUACUGCCGGGCUAGAGUCCGGAAGAGGCGAGUGGAAUUCCUGGUGUAGCGGUGGAAUGCGCAGAUAUCAGGAGGAACACCAACGGCGAAGGCAGCUCGCUGGGACGGUACUGACGCUGAGGCGCGAAAGCGUGGGGAGCGAACAGGAUUAGAUACCCUGGUAGUC